CGAACGGGUGAGUAAUGCGUGACCAACCUGCCCCAUGCUCCAGAAUAGCUCUUGGAAACGGGUGGUAAUGCUGGAUGCUCCAACUUGACGCAUGUCUUGUUGGGAAAGUGUUUAGUGGCAUGGGAUGGGGUCGCGUCCUAUCAGCUUGUAGGCGGGGUAAUGGCCCACCUAGGCUUCGACGGGUAGCCGGCCUGAGAGGGCGGACGGCCACAUUGGGACUGAGAUACGGCCCAGACUCCUACGGGAGGGCAGCAGGC
rnacentral:rRNA from 1 species